rnacentral:lncRNA from 1 species
GAACUCUCAGUUCCUCCUGCACCAUGUCUGCUUGGGUGCUGCCUUGUUACUGCCUUCAUGAUAAUGGACUGAACCUCUGAACCUUUUUCAUAGACCAUGCCAAGAUUGUCAGACAAGAAAAACAAAUCUAUCUGAAAACCAAGUGAAGGAAAUGAUAUCUAUACUCCAGUGAUAUCUAUAAUGUCUUUAUUUGUCUUGACCAACUCUGAAAAGCAAGUUCGAGCUCAACCAUCCUAUGUGUCUGACUUCUGCUAAGUGUGGAGCAUCAUGCCAUCCCAAGUGCCUGUUAGAACUGAGUGGUGACACCAAUACAGA